rnacentral:lncRNA from 1 species
CCAUACCAUUACCACCUUUAAUCAGACCACGGUCCCUAGGCGACAGCUGAACUGCCCACUAAGGCUAAACAAAUCCUGAAGCCGGAGCUUGCAUCUGAUCAGACCGCUGUGGACAAUCCCUGAUGCGGUGCUCUAUCUACCCACAAUUGAAUCAAGCUCCUAACCUUCUCCAACACUUGCUCGGAUGGUACUAACACAAUCCUUACACGACUGAGCCAUAGUAGAAGCAAUUUGGACCUCAACCUCAGAGGCCCAUCAUAUCUGGCCCAUUUCUUAGGCCUCAAAACGAAAUUAGAGGGCUCCAAAUCCCUCAUAUUCUUG